rnacentral:rRNA from 1 species
GACGAACGCUGGCGGCGUGCUUAACACAUGCAAGUCGAACGGAAAGGCCCUGCUUGCAGGGUACUCGAGUGGCGAACGGGUGAGUAACACGUGGGUGAUCUGCCCUGCACUUCGGGAUAAGCCUGGGAAACUGGGUCUAAUACCGGAUAGGAGCCAUUUUUAGUGUGAUGGUUGGAAAGUUUUUUCGGUGUAGGAUGAGCUCGCGGCCUAUCAGCUUGUUGGUGGGGUAAUGGCCUACCAAGGCGGCGACGGGUAGCCGGCCUGAGAGGGUGGACGGCCACAAUGGGACUGAGAUACGGCCCAGACUCCUACGGGGGGCAGCAGUGGGGAAUAUUGCACAAUGGGCGCAAGCCUGAUGCAGCGACGCCGCGGGGGGGAUGACGGCCUUCGGGUUGUAAACUCCUUUCGCUAGGGACGAAGCUUUUUGUGACGGUACCUAGAUAAGAAGCACCGGCUAACUACGUG